rnacentral:rRNA from 1 species
CUUGUCUCAAAGAUUAAGCCAUGCAUGUCUAAGUAUAAGCCAAUUAUACAGCGAACCUGCGAAUGGCUCAUUAUAUAAGUUAUCGUUUAUUUGAUAGUACCUUACUACCUGGAUAACCGUGGUAAUUCUAGAGCUAAUACAUGCUAAAAAUCCCGACUCCGGAAGGGAUGUAUUUAUUAGAUUAAAAACCAAUGCCCUCUGGGCUCCUUGGUGAUUCAUAAUAACUUUUCGAAUCGCACGGCCUUGCGCCGGCGAUGGUUCAUUCAAAUUUCUUCCCUAUCAACUUUCGAUGUUUGGGUAUUGGCCAAACAUGGUAGCAACGGGUAACGGAGGGUUAGGGCUCGACCCCGGAGAAGGAGCCUGAGAAACGGCUACUACAUCCAAGGAAGGCAGCAGGCGCGCAAAUUACCCAAUCCCGAUUCGGGGAGGUAGUGACAAUAAAUACUGAUACAGGGCUCUUUUGGGUCUUGUAAUUGGAAUGAGUACAAUUUAAAUCCCUUAACGAGGAACAAUUGGAGGGCAAGUCUGGUGCCAGCAGCCGCGGUAAUUCCAGCUCCAAUAGCGUAUAUUAAAGUUGUUGUGGUUAAAAAGCUCGUAGUUGAACCUUGGGCCUGGCUGGCCGGUCCGCCUCACCGCGUGUACUGGUCCGGCCGGGCCUUUCCCUCUGUGGAACCCCAUGCCCUUCACUGGGUGUGGCGGGGAAACAGGACAUUUACUUUGAAAAAAUUAGAGUGCUCCAGGCAGGCCUAUGCUCGAAUACAUUAGCAUGGAAUAAUGAAAUAGGACGUGUGGUUCUAUUUUGUUGGUUUCUAGGACCGCCGUAAUGAUUAAUAGGGACAGUCGGGGGCAUCAGUAUUCAAUUGUCAGAGGUGAAAUUCUUGGAUUUAUUGAAGACUAACUACUGCGAAAGCAUUUGCCAAGGAUGUUUUCAUUAAUCAGGAACGAAAGUUAGGGGAUCGAAGACGAUCAGAUACCGUCGUAGUCUUAACCAUAAACUAUGCCGACUAGGGAUCGGACGAUGUUAUUUUUUGACGCGUUCGGCACCUUACGAGAAAUCAAAGUGCUUGGGCUCCAGGGGGAG